rnacentral:rRNA from 1 species
UACGUAGGCAGCAAGCGUUGUUCGGAGUUACUGGGCGUAAAGAGUGCGUAGGCGGUUUUUUAAGUUUGGUGUGAAAUCUCCCGGCUUAACUGGGAGGGUGCGCCGAAAACUGGAAGGCUCGAGGAUGGGAGAGGCAUGCGGAAUUCCUGGUGUAGCGGUGAAAUGCGUAGGUAUCAGGAGGAACACCUGCGGUGUAGACAGCAUGCUGGACCAUUUCUGACGCUGAGGCACGAAAGCGUGGGUAGCAAACAUG